rnacentral:rRNA from 1 species
AACGAACGCUGGCGGCGUGCCUAAGACAUGCAAGUCGUGCGAGAAAGCACCUUCGGGUGUGAGUAGAGCGGCGCACGGGUGAGUAACGCGUGGGUAACCUGCCUUUUGGUCCGGGACAACCUCGGGAAACUGGGGCUAAUACCGGAUAAGACCACAGCAUCCUCGGAUGCAGCGGAAAAAGAUGGCCUCUUCUUGAAAGCUAUCGCCAGAAGAUGAGCCCGCGUCCCAUUAGCUUGUUGGUGAGGUAACGGCUCACCAAGGCCACGAUGGGUAGCUGGUCUGAGAGGACGAUCAGCCACACUGGGACUGAGACACGGCCCAGACUCCUACGGGAGGCAGCAGUCGGGAAUUUUGGGCAAUGGGCGAAAGCCUGACCCAGCAACGCCGCGUGAGGGAUGAAGGCCUUCGGGUCGUAAACCUCUGUCAGGGGGGAAGAAGGUGCCGUGGAGAAUAUUCACGGUUGCUUGACGGUACCCCCAAAGGAAGGACCGGCUAACUCCGUGCCAGCCGCCGCCGUA